AAAUUUCCAAAAACGUUUUGUUGUUUCGUUGUGUAGGGUGCUUGAUCAACCGUUCUUCACUGCUUGAAAAUUCAUCAAGGCCAUCGAUCCGCUGGAAUCGGACACAAAUAUUUUUUUCUGUAAGUAUGAUUAACGAAUUGAACAAAUUGACCUGUUACGGUGAGGUGAAUAGAGAAUCUACUGGAUUACUGAAACGUAGCGAGAUUCUGAAGAAAAUUUAGAUUGUUGAGUCAAUUUACUUAUUUUUCAUUCAAGUAUAUGCUGUACAGAUUGACAUAAAUCUCCAUUCUUUCCGUUCGUAAUUUUAAUUUAAUAAAGGGAAACAGCAACAAACUUGCCAACUAAAACUCAUUUCAGUUUAAAAUGCAAAAGAACAAAAGGGAAAAUUAUUAAAUUCAUGAAAUUUCGUAGAAAUGUAUUCAAAAAAAGACAACUUAGCGACUCAUAUCAAUUUUAAAUGUGUAGGUAUUUCGAUGUUUUUAUCUAAAAAAGAUCUGCUAAACUAGAAUUUUAAAAGAAUGAAAAAAAAAAUGUAUUAAAACUGCCUUAGCCUUGAUGUUAAUUUUAUUGAAUUGAAAGAGAAAAGUUAUUUGAACGGAGAAGAUUGCAGAAGAAAAAAAAAACUUACAAAAAAUAAUAGGAACCGCUUUCAUUUCCUAUAUACUAAUAUGUUUAACUUAUAAGCAAUCGCCACAGACAACAACAACAAAGUAAAAAAAAAUGUUUUAUUACAAUUCCUGUUAUAAAUGGAUAUAAUGCCACCCCCUCCCCUGCGAUCACAUACCGCUGCGAAUGAACAUGCAUAAUUACCUCCUUAUAUAGUAAUCUUCACACGAAAAUCGGAAACAGAAUACCAUCAACAUAAUAAUCGAAAUAUAUAUGGAAUGUAUGUUUUGAAUAAAACGUAUGAAAAAAAUUGAAUUGAACAUAAAAGAAACCACUUCCAAGACAAUCAAUACACACAAUGUAGUUUUGGAAGGGCACCGAGACUCUUUGCAAAUGAAAGUAGGAAAAAUAUGAGAUAAAAAAUGAAGUAUUUUACCAUGACCUAGAACUAAAUAUGAUAAAUAUUAAUAAAAAUACAAAAAAAUAAUAAUUAAAAACACAAAAGAUACUAAACUGAAUUAACCUAUAAUUUUCCAACUUUUCCACAUAAAAGAAGAAGAAAAAAUGAAAAAAAAA